UUUAAGUGCGGAGAGGAUUUAAUGGCGUGUGAAGAGGCCUUUUCCUGUUGCAGUAAUUUUGGGACUUCCUUAGUGAUUGCAUAAGUAAGCGAACACGAGCGGCUAGUAAAGGCAGUCUUACGAGUAAUUUAUCAGAUAAAGACUUCAAGCUACGCGUGAAAAGCAGAACGAUAAAGAUGAAGACAACAGUGAUAACUUUGAUCGGGAUUUUACUAGUCAUUCAGCAGACGUAUUCCUUCACCGCGGGAAUCGGGAAUUUUGGAAAACGAGAAUAUCAAAGAGGGUCCCACAUGAGUCGUAAAUCACUACAAUAUCUCUGCGAUUAUGUACAGAGAACAGCAACGGAAGAACCAGAGUUAACAACAAAACGAUCCACGCCGGAGUACAUACGGGACAUUUGCCAACUAUGACGUGACAAAAUGGAGUUCAAUGCCAAAACAUCUCACUCAAGUUUUGCAAAUUAAAACUAAAUUUGAAAGACUUUUUUUUGAAAUGAAAGCAUGAUAAAGAUUCAAGGCUAUGUAAGGUUUAUUAUAUGAAAAUAAAUGUCAUAAUUUCUGGUUUAGUUAA